AGGAUGGCAUGGCAACCUGCUGCAGUAUUCUUGUCUGGAGAAUCCCAUGGGCAGAGGAGCCUGGCCAGCUAUAGUCCCUAGGGUCACAAAGAGUCGGACAUGACUGAAGUGACUUAGAACAGCACAUGAACCCUCUAUACCCACUUCUGUUGAGAAUUUUUAUCAUAAACAAGUGUUGAAUUUUGUAAAAGCUUUUUCUGCAUCUAUUGAGAUAAUCAUGAUUUUUAUUCUGUGAUUUGUUAAUGUGAUGUGUCACAUAGAUGUUGAAUCUUGCAGCCACAAAAUCCAGGGCCCCAGAUGGGUGUAAGAGCUCCCUUCUGAGAGCCAUUGGCACUGGGGAGCGUGGCAGGGGAGAGUCAAAUGAUAAUGCCACCCUGAAAGGUCUCUGGAAAGGGUUAAAGUCAUCCUUAGAUCUGUGUUUGGUUAGAAACCUACCCCUCAGGCUACAGCUAUGGUGGUAAGCUAAUAGACCUCUUUCACAGAAAUAUCGUUGCCUCUUGCUGUGCCCUGGGUUGGUAACUAUUUAAGAACUUCUCUACAUUUGGUAUAGUGUUUUGUGACCCAUGAGCCUAAGUGCCAUUAGUCACCAGAACCAGACAAUGUAGAAUUAUCUCCUGGUACCAGCUGGAAGAAUUAGGGCACCAGACAAAUAUAUAAGCUGUUUUCUGAGAGAUACCAGUGAGCUGGGGCAAGGCAGGGGAAGUGUGCAAAGAUUUUGUCUACUGGCUUCUGAUUCAUGAAAACACCUCUAUAGCCCCCCAGAACUGUGUCAAACCAGAAACUUGCCUUCAUACCAAAGCUCCUGGAUAAAAAAAUAGGCCUCUUUCUUAGAAAGACUGGGAGUGUGUUUCAGUCUGCUCGCUGUGCAAUGCUCCGAUGGACUGCAAACUUCCAUGGCCUCCAGAGCCAGGUGAUCCAAAGGCAUGCUCUGGGUGGCAAGCAUAAAAACUGGGACACCCAGCCUAUGCAAAAGCUCACCUGCAUGACAUAGUGGUGCUCUGGAGGGUGGCACAGGGAAAGUGUAAAGCCAGCACCUGCUGGCUACAGUGAUGCAAAGGAGUUAAAGACUGAACCUCUGCAAAGAAAAAAAAAAUUCCUAGAAUAAAAAAAUAGAUGCCUGCCCACUUUAGCACAGAAGAAAGAGAGAGCAAAAUGGUGCCUGCCAGCCUCUGUCCUGGGAGAGUAUCCCAGCAGGUCCCUGUCCCUUAGGCUGACACUUUAAGGUCAUCAAAUGAGCCUCAUUUCCAUAAAGUGUGAAUGCUUUUCAAAUGGCUGCUUCUGCGCUGGGACUGGGUCAAAUGAGUCUGUGUGUGAUUCCUUUGAGAGCCACUUUGAGUUCACUCAAAACAUGAGACCCACUGGCUUUCAAAGCUAGAUGUUGGGGAGGCUUAACUUUUAGGUGCAGGUCUUAACAGUUGGGAUGCCCGUUGUUGUGAUCACACCCCUUGCUCCUCAGGAGAAGCUCUUGGUUUUGAGUUCCUUCCCAUCUGUGGGUUGCUGUGCUCAGGGUGGGGUUUAUGGCAAGCUUAUGACUCUCCCUCUCCUGCCUUGAUGUGGAUUUCCUCUCAUUUGCCUGAUGUGCAGGCAUUGUUGAACUGAUUUUUAGAUUUUUUUUCUUCUAGAGGAAAUUAUUCCAUUUGUAGCUGUAGACUGAGUGUGUCCAUUGGAGGAGUUUUUUUUUAUAAUGUGUCUUUGAGAAGAUCUAUUUAAGUUGCAUUUGUUUCUUAACCUUUGAGCUUCGCGAACUUAUAUCCAGCUCUCUCCGUAGAUUUGGGGACUUCCCUGGAGGUCCAGUGGUAGAAAGUCCACCUGCCAGCGCAGGAGACACUGAUUUGACCCCUGGACCAGGAGAAUCCCACUUGCCAUGGGGCAGCUGAGCCUGUGUGCCACAACUACUGAGCUGGCGUGCUGCAGCUGCUGAAGGCCACGAGCCCGAGAGUCCACGCUCCACAGCAAGAGAAGCCACCACGAUGAGGAGCUGGCACAUCACAGCUAGAGAGUAGCUCCUGCUCUCUGAAACUAGAGAAAGUCUGUGUGCUGCAACGGAGACCCAGUGCAGCCAAAAAUAAAUUAAUAAAUAAAUCUAUUUUAAAAUACACUUGGAAUGUAGUAUGGUAUGUGUCACAGCAUUGCUGCUUAAUGACCAUUUGUGCAUUAUAUCAAUAAAGUCUGGGGCUUAGUUCAGCCAGUAAUAAACUGAGCAUUAACUUUG